rnacentral:lncRNA from 1 species
UUUUGCAAAACACCUACUUUGGGUGUUCGGUUGCAGUUUCGAAAAUUUUCGAACACCCAAAACCGAACCGCACAUGUAAUUUUGUAUAUAGUCCAGCCCAUCAUGUAAUUCUGUAUACAGUCCAGCCCAUCUCUCUAGCAGUCCAGCCCAUUUGUCCAACACUCCAACAGUCCAACCCAUCUACUAAGUGUUCGGUUCGGUUUUAUUCUGUUAACCGAACCGAAUCACAUGUUCGGUUAUGUUUCGGUUUUAGUAAAUUUUUUUCGGUUCGGUUCGGUUUCAAAAAUGAAACAGUUCGGUUUCGGUUUUAGUUUUUACAAAACACCUACUAAGUGUUCGGUUGCCAGUUUUGACCAAAACCGAACCGAACCGAACCAUGCCCAGCACUACCAUACACAUAUUAUCUCCCUAGAUUCUAGAAUUUAUUCAAUAAUAGAGUAUUUAUUACCAUACACAUAUUAUCUCCCUAGAUUCUAGAAUUUAUUUGUUUGAGAUAUAAAGGAGAGAUAUGAUCUCCGGGUCAUAGUCACCCAUUUAUAGCCAUUCACAUGGUUUCUGUUUGUAUUAAUAAUAAUACACAUUCAAUCACCAUUACUUUACACUAUGUGAAUGUGCACGUCUAUGCGUGCGAAAACGAUGGGAAAAACGAUAAACGACUUAUAUUAUGUGUCCAACAAAAUGAAGAAACAAAACUCUUUUUAAAAAUUCCAAAAAAUAAUUUUAUAUGUGUAGCCAACUUGUAUGUGGGUGUGUACACCCAAUCAUAUGAUGCCACGUGUCUAUAAAAUGGUUGAAAAACUGAUCAAGCCCACUAGGGUUAACUAAACCCAUACUAGGUUAUAUUAUUAUUGCCGCAUGGCAUUUUGUGAUUGGGUGUACACACCCACAUACAAGUAAGCUACACAUAUAAAAUUCUCCGAAAAAAUUCAUAUUAUAAAAAGUAAAAUAAUUUUUUCUUUUAUUAUCAGCAGAUUUUUAUUAUCACAAAUUAUUUGAUUUUUAUAAACCUAUAUAUGGGUCCCACUUUUGGAAAUUAUUGUAAUACACUUAUUUCGGCAGAAGAAAGUGGAUAAGGAGUAAAAUUAUCUAUUUAUUAAAAUAGUUAAGAUACUGUUUGGGUCCCACCUUUGAAAAUUAUCGUAGUACCUUUUUAUUUCAGUAUAUAGAAGAAAAUGUAUAAGGGGUAAAAUAGAUAUUUACAUUAAAAUAGCUAAGAUGUUGUUUAUAAACAGACACGUCAGACCUCAUGAACGCCUCGAGAAUGAGGCCCAUAUAAAGUAGUUAAGAUUUACUGUAUACUUAAAACUCAGUCAGAUACUAGGAAGAGAUAUUAUAGCCAAAUUUACAGCAAGGUUGGAGUACACUAGAGAUGGACUCAGCUCAAGUUUUGAUGUUUGUUGAAACUUAAAAGUAUUUGAAGCAAUUGUGACCAGGGUGCAUGCACAUGGGGACUUUUAUGUGUUUAGCUGGCUAAUAUACUCUACGCGGUUUCUAAGAAGCACAUUCAUUUGUAGUUCAUGCACAGAAACACUUCACCAACAUUCAUUUAAUUUGUAGUUCAUGCACAGAAACACUUCACCAACAUUCAUUUAAUUUGUAGUUCAUGCACAGAAACACUUCACCAAUAUUCAUUUGUAGUUCAUGCACAUUCAUUUGUAGUUCUUUCACUUCGCCAGUUCGCCCCAUAGCCAUUAGGAGAAUCUCCCAAGUCUAACCAUCCUUUUUUUCUUUUUUCACAAUAAACUUACAUAAAUCUUGAGAAUUAGUUAUAAUAAUAGGUCUUGAGAUUCAUACGAGUAAAUAAAAUGUAUGGUGGAUAAAUAAUUAGCAGAACACUUCUAUGGAGUGAGGUCUUGUUAAUGUGGAAUUCUGGGUUACUGUCUUACUGAAGUAAAAAUGUUGAUAAAAGUGUCGGCACCGGCUAACAUGACAGACUAAGAUGCAUGGUGAGCUGAUUCCCAAAAGGGAUUGGUUUUCUUAGAGACAAAAAGUCAGCAUAAAAGAUGAGCCAGAACGUGGUGAUGGAGGCUGAUAACCUAACUAAUUUUCAUGUUUGAAAAGUUUUGUUCUUAAUUGGGUGCAAUUGUCAACUCAGUUUUUUGUCCAAAACCCAACCAUUAGUUUUGGCAAAUUGUUACUAAUAACAGCCAAGUUUUAUCUUAGAUUUAUACAGUAAUUGAGGGAGUGAUAAUAUAGUAAAUUUUACAGUACUAUUUUUUAUUUUCUUGUACAAAACUGCAAAUACAUAUCAAUGCUACAAAAAUUUCCAAGGAAAUCCGCACAAAAAUUGAUGUUAGCCAAAAGUAGGAAGAACUCAGAAGUUUGUAUUAGAUGAUCAGUUCAACAGAUCUGAGUCAGAAAUAGUCAUUUGGUAUGUAUAGACAGAUCUGACUUCCUCUAACACCGGGGAAGAGAACUAAAUAUCUCCAAACCGCCUUUAUAUCAUUAUCAAGUACUCGUCUUAAUUUGAAGAGUUCUUAUGGACAUUAUCCAUCAGUACAGCAGCAAGUGUGGGAAUGAAAAGCAAGCAUGGACAAACUUUCUGUAGGCUUGCAAAAUGCCAUCACCUGAUCACUCGGGGAGAGACCACAUGAAAAACCCAAUAUUAUAUAUAUCUCUCCCCAUAAUAUACACUGAGAUACGAAUCAUUCUGUGUCGGUAAGAUCAAGGCCAUCAGAGAUCACUUACACUUUGAUAGGCUCGUACUUUUCACCCAUCGCACCACCUUUCUGUUUUUGAAACUGAAUGUAACGUAGUGUACUCAAAACGAAAGCAUCUGCAGAGGGAUCUUGUGUUGUGAUAUAUCGCUUUGCAUCUCUGUUGUGAUUAACUCAACCAGACCCUGUAUGGCAGCAGUUGUGACUUGAGCAUUCCCUUUCUCAAAGAAGUAAAGGUACCUGACAAUUACAUGAGUGAGUGGGUAACCGAAAAAAGAUGCCACAAUGGAAAAUAUAUACAGCCUUCGCCAAUAAUAGUCUCUCGAUAUUUACUUGUUUAGAAUUUCAACGAAAAGUGUAACUGGUCCGCUGCUGCCCCUUGUCACAUUGGCCAUCUGUUGAGCAGCAUUUGCAAUUCUCAAAGCACGCUUAAGGCAAAGCAAGACCCUGAUAUGAGAAAAUAACAAAUAAUUUGCUUAACGGACAGCUAGAAAUAGUAAUGUGUAACGCCCCGGGAUUUCGUCCUCGCUCUGCCCCGGGAUUUCGUCCUCGCUCAUCCCAGUGCGUCGAGCACCAUACUGCUCGCUAAUGUCAAUAUUGUCCCCCUUUAGUCACUGCGGAUAUCCAGCAGUAGAGGGUUUUAGAUCAGGGCCCACCCAUGUGGCUUACCCCAAAAAGCCUUGACAUUCGUUAGAGUAUGGUUAAGCUCUAUAUACUACCAAUACAACCACUUUCUUGGCAAUGUGGGACUAACACCAACUCAUGGGUGUUACAUAAUGAUUAUGCCCAUAAUGUCAACUAAUUAAUGUUUGAAUGUUCAGGUUAUUAGUUCUAAGUUCUAACCCUCAAAGUUGGCAAGCACAACAAAUUAACAUUAAUUUUGCAGUUUUCAAGACAAUUACCACAUUCUGCAGAUGGUUCACCUCCUUCCCACAAACAUCGUUGCCUCAAGCUAGAGAAAAGAGUUAUUCAAAGUCUAUGGGGACCACCAUUUCAUGGACCAAAUUUUGUGUUUGGUUUCCAGACCAACAAACAUGGUAGAGCUCAAUGCAACAGCAAGUUUCAAGCAUAUAUAACAUGAUUUGCCAACUCGUGUUUUUAAUUUUUUAUCCUAAAAAUAAGUUACGUGGGCUUUUCUUAUAGGCUGCACCGAAUACUUAUAAGUUAUAACUCCAGUCAGAUGCGUUAACUCGAUUAAAAAGAGUUCGUUUAGAGUCUUCAAUCUCCAGGACAACUCUUUCAUGGACAAAAGUUCGAUCAUUGUCGUGGUAUGACACAAUAUUUGCUUCAGGUAAAGUCUUCACACCUGAAUUUCGAGUACUGUGAUUUGUCAGCAAUAUCUCAUUAUUUUUCUCUUCGGCCAGUAAGCAAGAGAUAAGCUCAGAGUACUUUUUGAAACUGCGUUCGCGGUAUUGCUGUUGCAGGAGCACAUUAGAAGCAUAGAAAGUGGUAAAGGUCUUUUCCAGCAUAUCUGCAUCAGUAACCCGAUCUCCACACAAUUUCAGCUGUGUGGUGAUGUUAUAUAUUGCAGAGUUAUAUUUUGUAAUGGAUUUGUAAUCAUGUAGACGUAGGUGUAUCCAUUCAUAACGGGCUUUUGGCAGGAAAACUGUCCUCUGGUGGUCAUAUCGCUCUUUCAGGUUGUUCCACAAUUUUAGUGGAUCCUUCACUGUUAGGUACUCAGUCUUCAGGCUGUCGUGAAGGAAGAUAGACGUUUUUGCACGGUCCUGCAGGACUCUAUUAUCUUCCGUAAUUGUCAGCCUAAGAUUUUUGGCAUCAAGGUAGACCUCAGCAUCAAGCACCCUUAAGAGAUAGUUGUCUCCGGUGAUGUUGAGGGCAACAAAUUCAAGUGACAAUAUUGACCAUUGUGUCUCUAUUUAACAAUUUAAACAAAAUUAAGUAAAUAAAAAUAAAUAAAUAAAUAAACUAGAACAGUUUACUGUAUGUGAACAGUGGCUAUAUUAGUUAGCUAAGUGUCCAACGACUAUAUUAGCCAACGGUACAAAAAUUAGCUAAAAAUCAGCACGUGUGCCGAAACGGCUAUAUUAGCCAACGACUAUUUUACUGACACAUGUGUGCGGACAACGAGAUCUAUAUAUGCACUUGUUAUGUGUACUACAAAGAAAUACAAUUUUAUAAUUUCUAUUUUUAGAAACAUGGAAGAGAAAAUCGAAAACGUGUUUGUGGUUUUAGCUAUUACUAUUUUUAUUUGUAUUUACCUUCUGUUGUUUAAAGUAACUCUGGGUGUGUAGAGAAAAACAGUUAUGUAUUAAAUUUGUGCCUACUUUAAUGAAUAAAAGUAGAAUACGUAUUACUGUAUAAUGAUCUUUAUCCUAGUUUUUAAUUUCAUACAGUUCAAGAUCUUGUUUUUCAUAGUUGUAACGAAAUUUUCCGAAGCUUACCCAAAAGAAGAAAUUAGUACAAGAAAAAUAUCAACAGUAGUAUGAAACGGUGGUUAGUAAUUUUAAUAUUGUCUAGCUAGCAAUCAAUGAAUAUCUAGUAACUAUGAUAACAAAUAAAGUUAGGUAGCGAAAAUCAAACAAUAUAUAGGUAUUGACAAACUUGAAAAAUGACAAAGUUGUAUAGUAAGUAUAAACCUUACCAAGUAGUAGGUAACAAAGUAUAAAAUAUAUAUGGGAUAUAUAUAUAUCAAACUGUAACGUAGGUGUGAAAUAAAGCUCAACGUGUCAAGCUAGCUCAUAAAUGUAGUCAAUAAUAUACAUCAAAAAGGUAUAACAAAUAGUAAAUGAAGUAGAUAUAUCACUAUGUUAGUAUAGAUAAUAAUAUAGUAGACAAAUAACGAAAUGUUAGUAUAAGAAAAAAAAUUGUCUAGGUCCUGGAAGGUGGUUAUCAUGUCAUAUAGAAUAAUAAUCCAAUGAAUAGUUAGUAUAUGUAUAUCAAAUAAUGAUAAUAGGAUUAAUAAUGUUUUCUUCUUCAUCACACCUUAUUGUCUUCAAUUUUGAGUAUUCCUACGAAAUGUUUAUGGCGGGGAAGACUUUUAGUAAUAAAAAGAUGAAAAAUGAUAGAAAGAUGGUAGAGACUUUCGUGCUGAUAACGUGUUACGUAUCAAACACUUUUAACUAUUAAUACAAAAAAGAAUAUGAUAGAAGAGAAGAGAGAAAAAGCUUUUGCUCGGGGUGUGUUUUCAUUCACUUAAGCAUACCUUUUUAUAGGCAAAGGGAUGCUACUAAGUCUUCGGUAUUACAGUAAAGAGGACUAUUGUUUGUGAUGGUCCUUGAAUCAAGGGUCUUACAUACUAUUCAUACCAUACCUAAAAUGAUCAUUCACCUACUAGCUUAUUCAUAGUAUAUGUAUUAUUAUUAUUUUUUCAUGAAUUACUUUUUUUGAGUACCAUGAAUUAUUAUUAGUUUGAUUUUUUCAUUUUAUAUAGGGACUUCAACAGUUUAUGAAUGCAGCUCAUUACUGGAAAAUGGAACCAGUUCCUCAGCAAGAACUACACAACUACACAAAAUGCAGAAUAUAACAGAACAUAUUGGAAAAUUUAAAAACUUUGUUUUCACUAGCAGAAAUAUCUAUACUUACAGUGAGGGAAGUUUCUAUGUUAUAUGUCAGGAAGGGGAAGGGUGCUGAAUGUAAGGGGGAACUUUGUAUUCUUUCGUUCGAUUCAAUAAAAUUUCUUAUUAACAAAUAUAUAUAUACUGUAUAUACUUACACGAAGUCAACCCCCUCAUUCUUAGCAAGAUGCUGAAGGACCGCAAUUUCUAUUGUAGCUGCAUCACGGUAUUUGCGUAUGCUACGAACUACUGUAAUUGCCCGUCUCACGAGCUUGGUGGUCCGAACAUUCCAAAACACGACCAAAUGUGCCUACAGUACUAGUAACUUGCUGAUAUGGAUAAAAACAUAAUCACAAACAAAUGAUCUGAAACAGCAGAGCACUGCAGUACUGGACAGCUAACCUUCACCCAUUUUGUUGAAUAUUUUAUCGGCAUAAAAAUGCAAAAAUAUAUAACAAAAAGUUACUAUGAUUUAUAUCGAGAACACAUCAACUAAAGCAUCACGCAACAAUAUCAACUACAUCAUCAUACCCCUUCAUUUCCAUGCACCGGGAAGAAUAUAUUGUUGAGGCACAAGGUACCUCCCAACAAACAAUGAAAGCGUCCAAUAACUCAAUGUGUAUGAAAGUGAUGCAAACAAACCAACGUAAGUAGUAAAACAAUUAAACCUACUUACCAACAAACAAACGUAAAGAGAGACACCAAUUUAACGUGGUUCGGCGAUUGCAUACGUCCACCAACCAAAGAGGAGAGCUUCUUAUUAACAAACCGACAAAGAUACAAAGUAUCUAACCAAUGGACAAAACCUCCCAAACAAAUCUCUCACUCACCAAACAAACCUCUCUUCACCAAAAUCCUCACAACUCUCACUAGGAGACCAUAGACAAAUUGAGGAUGAUCCUCUCCUCCCAACUCUCUCAAGGAGACAAACAGCUAUUAAGGAUUGAGGAUACUAAACCAAUCCCUAAGACCUUAUAUUUAUAGUCUUUAGGGUGUACAAAACAAAUUCCUUAUAGGAAUACCAAACCUAAUCAAAUUGGAAGUCGUAUUCCAAUACCAAAUUCUAAAUCCUUAAUAUAGACAUAGAAAUCCAAAUAUGAAACUGAUUCCUUAGAGAAAACAGGUUUCCCAACAUAUAUAAGUGAGAAACCCCUUUCUAUCCUCUCAAAAAGAAAAGAAAAAAACCAUGUCUUUCAAAAUAAAUAUAUAGCUACAAGUAAUGGGUUGUUAUCAUCCAUUUCUUCCAUAUCCUCUUGAUUAGAACUAUAAUUAGUAAUACCUUAGUUGUUUGGGUAUCAGAUAUGAUAACUUGUGUUAACUUGUAAUAAUGGUGUUUUUCUUCAUAAACCGCAUAGAUACUCCUUCCUCAAAACAAUGGUACUAACUUUGAUGUAUAGUCUUGUAAUGAUGGUGUUAACUUGUAUGUUGAGGAAUGUAUAGUCUUUUUACCUUUCUCAAAAUAAUGGUACUAACUUUUUCAGGUGGAAAACUACUGAUACAAAUUACAUACCAUGAGGAUAGAAAGUACAUGCAAGAAUAGUGUACAGGUCAGUGAGCUCACUAAGCUCGCCCCAGAGCUGAGAUCCUACAAUAAAAUAUAUGAACAUUGUCGAUGAUAUCUCUGUAGGGGUACUAUAUACUCCAACCAAUAAAAACAAGCCAUGUGGCCCGGUCAUUAAUCUAUCAGCUCGCUCUGUACUCGACCUACUCAGAACUCGACCAGAGCAGCUCGACUACAGGAUCAACAACGAUCUAAUUGCGCGCACAUACCCUAAUUCAACGCACAGAUAAUAUCUCCAGCUGUCAUACAUUCAUUACAACCGUUACCCAAUCAUUGGAGAAUAUUACAUCACCAUAAAUAUGUCGGAGAAUCUGCAAGAUCCCGAGAUCUUCGCCUCAUCACCUUCUAUAAAACAGAACUACGAUGGCUUGAUCUCUAGGUUCAAUCCCGACGAACUAGAGUACGUAGGCAAUCUCGAUCUCAACGAGGUGCAGCCACCCCCGAUCUAAAACUCCCCCUUUGGUCAAGUCCAUAAGCGACCUGAUCAGGUAGAUGCAUUAAUCUAGAAAUAGGUUAAUACAUUUGGCGUCGACUGAAAGGAAUUCGAUUAUAUCGAAAAAUCUCAAACCCUCCCACCCAACUCAAAGUCAUCUACUCAAAUUGCUACCCAAGAACUAACUAUCCAAGAUCUGCAAGACCAAAUCAAUCGUCUUCAGGAAGAAAAUGCACAAUUGAAGGCUGCACAAACUACCGCACCAACACCAGUUGCGCAAUUAGCAAACGGCGGACAUGGGGUCAUUGCUGUUAACGACAGCAACCAAAAAUACGAAGAACUCAGCCAACAGCUCGCAGAGUUCAAAGCCCACCAGGCCGUCAUACAGCUCCACAAAGGCCACACAGCCGAACAACUUGCUGUCCAGUCCCUCCAACAAUUCCAAGAAUCUCCUUUCACCAAGGAAAUCCUUGAUCAUGAGUUGCCUAACAAACUCAACGCCUCAAAAUUCGAUCAAUAUGCAGGAGUUGGAGACCCAACAGAUCACAUCAAGGGAUUCCGUAAGUCACUACCUCUCAUUAAGGAAGAUCACCUUCUAUGUUUGUUGUUCCAGUCCAGCCUCACCGGAUCUCGAUCUCAACGAGGUGCAGCCACCCCCGAUCUAAAACUCCCCCUUUGGUCAAGUCCAUAAGCGACCUGAUCUGGUAGAUGCAUUAAUCUAGAAAUAGGUUAAUACAAUCUCCAUGGCCAUUUCAUGACCAAUUGACUAUCAAGAUUAUGAAGAUAUUAGAUAUGGACACCGUUUGUCUACUAAUAUGGUGUUUCGUAUAUUUUUUUUUUUUUUUUUUUUGAUAAUGGGAAGUCUGAUCAGGAUUGUCCUGGUUCAGACACCUCUAAUUCAUUUAUAAAAUCAAUAGCAGAAACAAUAGUCUAGGGUUCAUAAAGGCAUCUGGCAGAGUUUCCAGAGCUCCAUGCACAUUUAGCUAGUCUGUGAGCCUGUGUAUUACAACUCCUACCAACAUGAAUAAAAGAGAAAGAUCUUAACUGUCAACAUAAACUAGAAAUAAAACAACUAAUGCUUCUAGUAUUCCAUGCUGGGCUGGUUUCUCCUCUGAGGCAAGAGAUGACAGUUGCAUUAAUUGUCCCCUUCAAAAAUACCAUCUAAGAAGUUCAGCUCCACAGCAACUCUAACAGUUAAUUCAGCAACUUGGAAUUCUGCUUCUUCAGCAUUCAUAGCCUUUAUCUUCUGUGUUCCUCCUGCCAAAAUGACACCAUCUGCAUUCCUAGCUACCACUGCAACAACACCCAACCUCCUAUCAACAAAGUAGCUAGCAUCAAAAUUUAGUUUGAUCCAUCCUGGGGGAGGUCCCAUCCAUGAUUUCUCUGUGUAUCCCAACUCGGUAGGUAAUGGUCCCACAUGAGUAUUGGAAGACGACCUCUCCACCACAGCUUGUAACCAUACAUUCUGCUCAGAUGUAGCUUUAAAAACAAUAGAAUCCCAAGGUACUUGUUUGUUAUCAAAUCUAAUAUUAUUCUUGGCAUUCCAUAUAUUUAGCAUUAUAUAAAAAGCUAAACUAUAGAAUAGUUAUUUGUCUGAUGUUCAUCCUGUUUAUCAAAGUUUUUAAACCAUUCGAACCAUGAGAAAUCAUCACAAGAACCAGGAUUUAUUCGAAGACACAGGGGUGAACCAAACCAAACUCUAGCAACCCAAGGGCACUAAAACAUAAGAUGGUGGGCACACAUUUUCUUUCCCCCCCCCCCCCCCCCACAGAAGACAUACUUUGGAUCAAUGUUAAAAUGGUGUAAAUGUAGGUUAUGAGCUGUAGGGAGGAUAUCUAGAAGGACUCUCCAAAGGAAAGUCUUAAGGUCUGGAGGCAGGUUAGAGUUCCAAAGUUUUGAGAGAAUAGUAGGAGGGAUGUUGGAUGAGGAACUUGCUUGGUCUGAGCUUCCAUCUUUGGUUAUCCAAUAUGCACUCUUCACACUAAACUUGCCUUUCUUACUAUGAUACCACAUUAGUUUAUCCUUAACUCUAUAUCUGGGGUGGAUAUUAAGGAUAGUUUCCUUGAUAGGGAAAGGAAUCUCUCUCAUGAGCCAUGUUUUCCAUUGUCCCCUGUCAGUAAGGAACUCAACAACUUUGGAGUCUUCAUUGGGGCAUUCCAGCCAAAGGUCAACUAUAGAAGAGGGCUUCCCAAGGAAAGUUAACCAUGGAUCCUUCCAGAAUCUAACCUUACACCCAUCUCCUAUGCUCCAUAUGCAGCUCUGCUUCAUUAUAUUUUUAGUCUGUAAGAUACCUUUCAGAAUGGGAGAUGCCCAUGGUGGGGGUUUGUCAGUGUUGCUCAACUCCAAAUAUUUGCCAUAUCUUCCAUUCAUAACCUUUGCCCAUAAAGAGUUUUUGUUAGUCAAUAAUUUCCAGUACAAUUUGGCGAUCAAAGCCAGAUUCAUUUCCCUAAAGCUUCUGAAGCCUAAGCCACCUUCAUUUUUCCUUCUACAGAUCAAAGGUCAUUUGCACAUGUGGGAAGUCUUACAAGUUCUGGUACCGUACUACCAUUCCACCAAAAGUUCCGACAUACCUUGUUCAUUCCUUCACAAAUAGCUUUAGGCACUACAAAUGUUGACAUUGUAUACAGCAGUGAUUCUGUGACUGACUUGAUCAUUACUCCUCUUCCAGCAAGAGACAGAACAUUAGCCUUCCAUUGCUCCAUUCUGUUUUUCAUUUGCUCCUCUAGAUAUGAAAAGUCUUUUAGUCUAGACCUUGUCAGGAUUAGAGGGGUGCCUAGGUACUUAUCCUUCACUUCCAUUUCACCAACUCUUAUGAUACUUUUUAUCAUUCGUUCGUAUAUUUUCUCUUCUAAAACAUUUGCAUGACACAAAUGCAUUCAGUUAACAUAAUUCUCAAAAUCAACUCAUUCAAGGGGAUAUAUAUGUACUGAAAAACUACAAAUAGUGCUAAUCUAACAAUUGAAUAUUCAAACAAAUCAAACGAUACGCAGAAAGUAAAUAACACACAGGAAUUUUUAACGUGGUAAAACCCAAUAAGGGAAACGUCCACGGUUGCCUCGAUGACAACAAAUAAUCCACUAGAUGAAAGAGAUUUACAAUCCUACCAACUACCUGCACUCACUGCGAGCUGAUACUUCAGGUUAUCUCUAACACCUUGACUUCACCAGAGCACCUUGAUGUACGCACAAGACACUCGACUUCUUGAUGAACUCACAAGAAGACUCGAAGCCGAAUUCACAAUAAAAUAUGGAAGAUAACAAAUUUAUGAAUUGGAAGAAGGGGAAGGAAGGGAAAUGAGUUCAAUGACCAAAAACAACAUCAACACCAAAACCAAAACCAAAACUCAAGAACCAGAGAAAUAUUGGACGGCCAAAGAACUUUGGAGGAGAAACCCUAUUUAUACUUAGGGUUGGAAAACACAGAAAAUGGGCCGAAAUAUAAGAAAUCCAUAUUGGACGUACGUACGUCGAAACAACGUUCGUACGUCUCCACACGAUAAAAGCUUGCUGACUGCUUGGACGUACGAACGUCCUAACUAGGUACGUACGUCCAGAACAACAAAACAUACCUGCUGACUGACCUGACGUACGUACUCCCUAACUCAGUACGUACGCUCAACACGAUGGAAGGUUUGCUGACCAUAGGGACGUACGAACGUCCUAACUUGGUACGUACGUCCUGAACCAAAAACACACGACAUACUAGACGCGAAGACAAGGAGUUGGGAUGACGCGCGUACAACAAAGUUUUCCUAACAAUGAAAUCAAGGCGAGAUAACCAAGGACGACCAAUGUCACAAAAUUGAUGUCAAACAAACUUAGUGCCGGUUUCAAUCUCCCCCUUUGACAUUGAUUUUGUGACAAAAACCUAUGACUCUAAUAGCACUUAUAAAACGUGCUUACAAACCCAAACCCUGGCAUUUAUAAAACAUGCCUACAAAAACACUCAAGGUAGAAUACAUACCAAAUCACCAACACUUGAUAACCAGCUUGAAUAAGACGCUUUAACCAUCAGAGACCGAACGGAAGCAACAAGAAAUUCUGAAGCAAUCAAGGAGCCAACAGAAGUUCCUCGAGCAACUCCCCCAUACUGCAUGAGCUCCAAAGUGUGACACUCGAGCUCCCUCAUAACUGUACAACCUCUAAACAUCAACACGUUCACUCCCCCAUACAUGUAGCAUACCUGAAACAUGACCCAAAAAUAUCCUAACAACAAAGAGACGAUUGUUAGUAAUUAGAGUCAUAAAUCUCCCCCUUUUUGUCACACCCAGUGAACAAGAGAAACGAUUAACCGAAGAAACAAUAAACAGGAAACAAAAAUAACCAAGAAAAGAACCCAACGCCAAACAAUCAAAACAAAACAGAUAAAAAAAAAAAACCUAUCCCAACUCUUAAAGUUUCAUGAAAACAACUAAUCAACCAAACACAAGAAUCCAGAAUCAUAAGAAACAGUAAAGACAGAACAUAAAACUUAAGUUAACGAAUUCGAAAAAUUCGUUCCCAAUGACCUAGAGGAAACUUGGAGAAAUAAGCUUCUGCGCGAGCCGAAGAUCUAUUCCACCGAGCUAUCACAUGAUCGUCAUAAUCCUCCAGCCAUUCACCCGUACAAAAUAACUCCUCGAUUCUGCUGUCCAAGCCACAAUCAGUGAGAGGAGCAGCAAUUCCUGAAACUUUCGGGUAUCCAACCAACUCCAAGAUGUGAUUCUGAAGAUGUCCCGGCAAUCUCUCCCAAUGGUUGACAUGAACCAUGCACGGAUUAAGAAAGGGUGGAUGAAUAUAGUCAUACCCAUGGGGAACACGACAUAAGCGCCAAACUUUCGAAUUGUUUUUGUAUUCCAUCACCAUAAACGACACAUAACCAACAGUCGGAACAAAUACCCCAUGAAGUUCAUAUUCUGCCAUUGAAAAAUUCUGAAGAACAAAGACAGAACUAGAAGGAGGUAAGAAGGCACAAAAUAGGUAUAAGAAAAGAAGACACCUAUAUAUAUAGAAAAACAAACAAUAACCCAACAUGGGCCCAAAACGGCAUGUCCAUUACCAAAUAUGCAAGAUAUUUUUACUAAUCUGAAGAGAACUAGUACUAAUAUCAUAAUAGUAACAUCCAAUAACAGAACCAAUCUCUAACAUUAGAAACAAAAGUAGACUCCCAAUAUGACCACAUCAAACAAAGAUUUAAGAAGAUAAAGCAAAAGGAAGAGCCUACUCUAACUCCGAGUCACCAUCACUAUGCUCGUCACCAGAGGUGCCAAUGAAACCAUCAUCCUCACUCUCCCUAUCAGAGACACCACCAUCAGUAUCACCCGCUACGGGAGGCACCUCAUCUGGGAAUGGAGGUAACUCUACGGGAAUGAAGUCGAUCUGUAGAUGACGCAUCUGGGCGACAUUCAUCCUAUGUAGAUCACGGAGCAUCGCAUCAUGCUGAGCAAGGAUGACACCAAAACGAUCCAAACGAGCGUCCGUAUGAUCUUGAUGACGCCGAAGAGAGGAAACCCGAGCUUCAACUGCAGCAACUGCCCGGUUGCUCCUAACUGAGGCCAAUGGAGGGCAUCCAGGAGUCAAAGCCCGAUCAAAAUCAUCAUGGCUAUCAAGAGCCCGGCCUCCCCAAAUCAAGUGAUGCGUCAGUCGCGCACCCACAGACUCAAAUGCAGACUUUCUAGACUGGCAACCCUUUUUUAUGGCAUUGACCCAGUCAUGGCCAACAAACCUUGGAGGGCUCACCUCCGUGUAUCUUCCCUGAAAGCCUAAAUGCUUAAGAAUUGUCAUAAUAAAGCUAGGGAAAGGAAGAGUACCCUUAACUGCAUCAAUUUGCAGCAUCCGUGAGUAGAUGACUUCGGAGAGGUGAAGAUGAUGCACCGACAUACACACCACUAACUUGACCAUAUCGUCGGUCAUGAUGAUCUUGUAGCCCUUUCUAGGAUAGAUGUUGGAAUGGGCAACCAUGUGCAAGAGAAUGGCACUGUAGAACUUGGCAUGAUAUCUUUCCGUGACACCAUCGAUGAACAUCCUCUGAACUUGAUUGACAAAGUCAAUUUGAAUCGCAUCCAGAAUGGGCCACCUAACAUGAACAGUAUUCUCUGGGAGACGAUUAUCAUCGAUCCCCAAUGCCUCACGUAUCACCGUCGGAGAGAUAGUGUAUCUCCUACCUUCAAUCAGGACGGAGAAGCUCGAGCGGUUCUGUGAGGGUGUCUUCGUCUCAUAGAAGGCAAUCGUGUGCUCAACCGAGUACUUAGUGAUUGGUUGAGCCACCCUUAACCAAUUUCUCGCCUCAAAGAAUGAAGAUAUGUUGCCGAGUUGGGUAGCUCCUAGAGGGGUGGCAACAAUAGCCUUGGCUCGAGGAUGAGCACUAAGGGGUGUGGGAUGAGGUGACAAGACCGAAUUGGUAUCAGUCGCAGGGCGCUUGUUAUGGAGCAUAAUGGCUCACGCGUCGAUCCUUCUAGUGCUAUGAUUUACUCUGGUAAGACACAUGUCUCGUUUGUGGCUCGAUUGUCUGAUGAACAAUCAACUGCUAGUAAAGAAUGCUCUAGUGGCUGUGACAGGGAAUUGAUUCUUGUUGACAAUAAUGAUUGGGCUACCCUAUACCGGUUAUCCAGAAAGGAAUGUCUAAGGUUAGAGGCACAUAAUAGUAUUCUUCAAGACAGACUUGACUUACUCUCUUCUAGUUCCUCGUCCAUGUCAACCUUGGAUAGGGAAACUGAAUCUUGGCGGAUUGGUAAGGUGAACUUAUUGAGCAAUCUAGCUUGCUGCUCUUGAGCAUGACAAUGUUGAAUGGGAAGCCGGGUGUAGUAUUAUGUCCACUGAACUCGAGGAUAUCAAAAAGGAACUGGUGCGCCUUAAGUCUUUUGAAACCUGCAAUGGGCUGUCAUCUUCUGAACUACCUCCGUUAUUGCCCAAUCCUCCUACCAACAAGUCUAACAAUCAUCAAUCUGUGGCCACGGUAGGCAUCGGGCGUAAAUGGAAACCGUUUAGGCGUGCUCCCCCUCAGGGAAGAAAACGUCAAAUGACCUGCUCAUUAUGUGGGCAGUUUGGACAUUGGGCAUCGCAGUGUGUCGUGGCCGCUCCUGUUCCACAACCAUGGACGCUGUUCUCACAGCCAUCGUAUGUCUAUCCAUCUUAUCCAUACGCAUCUUACUUUUCUCCUUGUAACUUUGCAGGCAAUAAUUCAAAUGUGGCGAUUACUGCUCUUCAUGUUUCGAGCUCGGAUUUGAUAGUGGUGCUUCGAAACAUAUGUCAGGUAAUGCCAAACUUUUCUCCUCCGUUACUGCUAUAGAUGGUGGAAGUGUCACUUUUGGUAAUGGUAAGCAUGCUCCUGUGAUUGGUAAAGGCUUUGUUGCUGGUAUUGGUCUAUCCUCGAAUGAUGUUUGUUUAUUAGUUGAUGGGUUGCGUGUUAAUUUGAUCAGUAUUAGCCAACUGUGCGAUACUGGUCAUACUGUUAAUUUUUCUAAAAAUAUAUGUAUUGUUCUUGAUAGUUUGGGUAAGUGUAUCAUAACAGGUAAACGCACAUUGGAUAAUUGUUAUGCCAUUCGGCCUGUUGCACCUGGUAUAAACUGCUCACCUAGCAAACUGAAUGAGGGUCUGUUGUGGCAUCAACGGCUAGGUCAUGUCAACUUUGAACUCCUAGACAAUCUAACUCGAAAUGAAUAUAUUAAGGGAGUUCCUAGACUUGGAAGGAAUCGCGAAACUGUGUGUGGGGGGUGUCAACUUGGUAAACAGAUACGGAGUUCACAUUCCAAGAAAAAGUCUAUAACCACAUCCUCUCCUUUAGAACUCAUUCACAUGGAUCUGAUGGGUCCUACUCGUACUCCUAGCUUAGGGGGAAAACGAUACAUCUUAGUUAUGGUUGAUGAUUACACUCGCUUUACUUGGGUAUCAUUCUUGCGUGAAAAAUCUGAUGCGUUUCUUGAGUUUCAGGGGAUAUGUCUUCGUGUUCAGAAUGAGAAAGAUACUCAAAUUAAACAUGUUCGAAGUGACAGGGGCGGUGAAUUCACAAACACAGGUGUUAUUGAGUAUUGCAUUGCAAAUGGUACGUGGCAAGAAUUUUCGGCCCCAUACACUCCGCAACAAAACGGAGUCGCUGAAAGGAAGAACCGUGUUAUUCAGGAGAUGGCUCGUGCAAUGUUACAUGCGAAGGAUGUUCCUACCAAGUUCUGGGCGGAAGCAGUCCAUACUGCUUGUUACAUCAUGAACCGUGUAUAUCUGAGAUCUGGUACUACACAAACUGCUUAUGAGCUAUAUGGUAUGGUAAGAAGCCAAAUCUCAAAUAUAUGCGAGUUUUUGGCAGUGUUUGCUAUGUGUGCAAGGACAGACAAAGUCUGUCUAAGUUUGAUAGUCGAGGUGAUGUUGCUCUUUUACUUGGUUAUUCCUCAAAUAGUAGGGCCUUUCGAGUAUUCAACUACAACACUCACAAGGUCAUGGAAUCCUUUACUGUUGUUGUUGACGACACUAUUGUAUCUGACUCUUCUAUUUCAACUGGUACACAGGAUUCUACAGUUCUCUCACCCUUGUCAGACUCUGUUGACAUGUCUCCCAUGUCGUUCUCGUUACCUGAUAAUGGUGCUGAUGGUAAUAAUCCUUCGGUUACUUCAGAGGACUUGCCUGGUAGGUCCAGUGAUGUGCCCACACUGGAUGAUGUUGUAACACCACCGCCAGGGGCGGUUGAUGUGCCUCCAGAUUCCUCCACUGUGUCUGUUGAGCCUGAGGAGUUGUUUGUUAAAGCAUCAACUCAUGUUAAACAACAUCACUCCAUAGGGGAUGUCAUUGGGGAUAUUAAUGAUCAUCGUCUGACUCGUCGAAAGGCCAAGGAGACAAACUGUGUUCACUAUGUUUGUUAUCUUUCCUCUUUUGAACCUAAACACGUUACUGAUGCUCUUACUGAUGAUGAUUGGUUAGUUGCUAUGCAGGAAGAACUCGGUCAGUUUAAGUGUAGUGAUGUUUGGACAUUAGUUCCCAGACCUACUCACACUAAUGUGGUUGGCACCAAGUGGAUCUUUAAAAAUAAAUUGGAUGAGUUUGGGCAGAUUGUGCGAAACAAGGCACAACUCGUAGCUCAGGGCUACAGUCAGAUUGAAGGUGUUGAUUACGGAGAAACUUUUGCUCCUGUGGCUAGGUUGGAAUCUAUCAUGCUUCUUCUUGCUAUAGCAUGCCAUUUGAAUUUCAAGCUGUACCAAAUGGAUGUCAAAAGUGCGUUCCUCAACGGUCUUCUCAAUGAGGAGGUCUAUGUUGAACAACCAAAGGGGUUUGUUGAUCACACCUUUCCGAAUCAUGUCUUCAAACUGCAAAAACCAUUGUAUGGUUUAAAACAGGCUCCUCGAGCAUGGUAUGAACGCCUGACAACCUUCCUACUAGGGAAAGGAUUUGUUCGUGGCAGUGUUGACCGAACCUUGUUUAUAAUGAGAAAGGAAAACAAUGUUCUUCUCGCCCAAGUUUAUGUGGAUGAUAUAGUGUUUGGAUCCACGUGUUCAUCUCUUUCUGAAUCUUUUUCUCAGUUAAUGAGUUCUGAAUUUGAAAUGAGCUUAAUGGGGGAACUAAAUUUUUUUCUUGGCUUGCAGGUAAAGCAGUUUAAUCAUGGAGCGUUCAUCUCUCAAACAAAGUAUGCCAAAGAACUUGUCAAAAAGUUUGGUUUUAGUGCUUCUAGUGGUCAAGAUACUCCCAUGGGUGAUAGGGUACGUCUUGGUAAGGAUGUUAUGGGUAAGUCUGUUGAUAUUCGUGAAUAUCGUAGUAUGAUUGGUAGUCUUUUGUAUCUCACUGCUAGUCGUCCAGAUAUUGCUUAUAGUGUUGGAGUGUGUGCAAGGUUUCAGGCUAAUCCUAAGGAAUCUCAUCUCACUGCUGUUAAACGUAUCAUUCGGUAUGUUGGUAGCACGCUUGAUCAUGGAUUAUGGUUUACCAGAGAUACAAAUAGUGUUGUGGCAGGUUAUUGUGAUGCUGACUGGGGUGGUAAUCUUGAUGAUCGUCAUAGUACCAGUGGUGGCUGUUUCUAUGUUGGGAAUAAUCUUGUUUCCUGGCAUAGCAAGAAACAAUCAUCCGUAUCCAUCUCCACGUGUGAGGCUGAGUAUAUAGCUGCAGCUAGUGCAUGUACACAACUUCUGUGGAUGCGUCAGAUGCUUCGGGACUAUGGCAUACAACAGAAGGCGAUGGACUUGUUCUGUGACAACACCAGCACCAUUAGCAUAUCCAAAAAUCUUGUUCAACACUCACGAACAAAACAUAUCGACAUUCGUCAUCAUUUCCUUCGUGAGGCGGUGGAUAAGGGUGAUAUAGUAAUGGAAUUCAUUCCUACUGAACAUCAGCUAGCGGACAUUCUUACGAAACCUCUUGAUGCAGCCCGCUUUCAUUCUCUGCGCAAGUCCAUUGGGGUCGUUCCUCUUCCCUAAAUGUUACUGGUAGUCUCCCCUCCUCUCUCUCUUCUUCCUUGUUUAUUAUUUUUCUCUUUCUCUGUAUAUAUCUGGUCAAGUUUGUUUUGUCAUGAUGUUCUGUGUUGGUUCUCCUUAUUCGGUUGAGAGCAUUUUUUUUUUCUGUUUAUCGUUUUGGUUGUCGUUCUUAAAUAAGGUGCAAUUAUAAUGAAUUAAGCUAAUUCUUUUUGUGUUUGCAGACCAAUUAUUUCAUGGUUUUGAUAUAUUGUAUUUUAGAGAUAAUCGAUUUUUGUAGGUUUGGGAUGAUUAAGUAUGUUUUCGUAUUCUUAUGGUAUGAUUAAUUGAAUUAUUUUUUUUACAUAUGGCUAUUUGUUAAGGUUUUGGUAUUUCAUCAUGUUGAUUGCAUUUUAGUGGUUUCUGGUGUUUGUAGUCUAUCUGUUUAAGGUUGCAUAUCAUGUUGAAUGUUGGGAAGUAUUUACUUUAUUUUUAAAUAUUUUGUGAUUUACUUUGUUAUGGGUGUUUGGGAUACACAUACUUUGUAUAUGUGGUUAGAUUGGUCUAUUGCUUUCAAUCAUACUUGUAUGCUUAGUGCUCAUGAAUAUAACUAUUUUAUUACACUUAGCAUACGUUUGUGCUUUCAUGUUUAGAUUUUAGACCAAUGUUUAUCUAGUGUGUCUCCUGCAUAUAUCCUUGCUUGAUUACACUAUGCACAGCUAGGUGGCACUUUGAGAGUUUGUUUGCAUAUCUUUUUUUCAUCCUUGGAACAUGAUGAACUUCUAGGAUAAUCAUUAGUUGGAAAUAUACGUAUGCAUGUCUUCUUAUGUUAUCUUGAUUAUUAGUAUGAAUGCGGUGUGGUAGUGGUCAACAAUUCACAAAAUCCCCAGCCUUUUGAUCUUCUUGAGAGAGAAAUCAUUUGGUAUAUUUUCCCGUUGGGGCCGUGAGGGUCAUGCAAUGACGGAUGCACUCAAGAGAUGUUAGUUCUUGUGUUGCACGUUACCAUGAUGUUGCACUACUUUCAGUUUGUUCUUAAAGGGGAAGUAAUUUGAAAAGAUGUAGGCUACACCCUACCACAUGUUGCAAAAGAUGAAGGUAAAAAUCCCUUUCACAUGUUAAUUUAUGCACAAUAAAAUAUAAUAAUAAUAAAAUAAAAAGGUUAUAAGUGCAUUUCCCCGUGUCUGUUUAGGCGUUUGUGCAGUGAAAUCCUUCUAAUGGUGAAUACUAGUUGUUUUGAGUGUUCUUAUGGAUUGUGAGUGAGGUGUGAAAAUGACUCUCUUUGUGUUUUCUUUAGCUUUCCCACACACCAAGGAUAUUUGUAGGAUGCAUUUCUAGUGGAUGUUUGGUUUCAUAUCUUAAUCUUUGAUUGGUGCGUACUUUGUUUAAUGAAACCAAGUUUAUUCAUCUUUACUAAGUAUCUUGUUUUAAUUGAGCUUGCAUAUACUCUCUUCUACCCUUGUAUGCAUGGUUCUUUGUGUGUUUCAAAUAUCCUUAUUUGGUUUGUUUGUUCUAGGUGCACCUUUCUCAUAUGCAUUGCAUUUAGGUGGAGCUUUUGUUUAGGUGGAGAAUUCUUUGUAUUGACAUCGUGUUAACAAGUGUUUAUUUUAUGGCUUCCGUUGCAUAUCUUUUUUGUUGUUAACAUGAUUGUUCUCUUUCUUUCCUUCUUUAAUCUUAUUUGUUAUGGUUUGGAAUUUUUCUUUUCUCUUUCUUUUGUUACCUUGCUUCAUUUGUGACAAAAAGGGGGAGAUUUAUGACUCUAAUACUAACACAUUCUUCUUCUUUGUUAGUGUAUUUUUGGGUCAUGUUUCAGGUAUACUACAUGUAUGGGGGAGUGAACAUGUAUGGGGGAGUGAAAGUGAUGAUGAUCACAAAAUGCAUGUACAGUUCUGGGUAAGCUCGAGUAUUAAACCUUGGAACUCAUGAAGUAUGGGGGAGUUGCUUGAGGAACUUCUGUUGGCUCCUUGAUUGCUUCAGAAUUUCUUGUUGCUUCCGUUCGGUCUCUGAUGGUUAAAGUGUCUUAUUCAAGCUGGUUAUCAAGUGUUGGUGAUUUGGUAUGUAUUCUACCUUGAGUGUUUUUGUAGGCAUGUUUUAUAAAUGCCAGAGUUUGGGUUUGUAAGCACGUUUUAUAAGUGCUAUUAGAGUCAUAGGUUUUUGUCACAAAAUCAAUGUCAAAGGGGGAGAUUGAAACCGGCACUAAGUUUGUUUGACAUCAAUUUUGUGACAUUGGUCGUCCUUGGUUAUCUCACCUUGAUUUCAUUGUUAGGAAAACUUUGUUGUACGCGCGUCAUCCCGACUCCUUGUCUUCGCGUCUAGUAUGUCGUGUGUUCUUGGUUCAGGACGUACGUACCAAGUUAGGACGUUCGUACGUCCCUAUGGUCAGCAAACCUUCCAUCGUGUUGAGCGUACGUACUGAGUUAGGGCGUACGUACGUCAGGUCAGUCAGCAGGUAUGUUUUGUUGUUCUGGACGUACGUACCUAGUUAGGACGUUCGUACGUCCAAGCAGUCAGCAAGCUUUUAUCGUGUGGAGACGUACGAACGUUGUUUCGACGUACGUACAUCCAAUAUGGAUUUCUUCUAUUUCGGCCCAUUUUCUGUGUUUUCCAACCCUAAGUAUAAAUAAGGUUUCUCCUCCAAAGAACAAAGUAGUUCUUUGGCCGUCCAAUAUUUCUCUGGUUCUUGAGUUUUGGUUUAGGUUUUGGUGUUGAAGUUGUUUUUGGUCAUUGAACUCAAUUCCCUUCCUUCCCCUUCUUCCAAUUCAUAAAUUUGUUAUCUUCCAUAUUUUAUUGUGAAUUCGGCUUCGAGUCUUCUUGUGAGUUCAUCAAGAAGUCGAGUGUCUUGUGCGUACAUCAAGGUGCUCUGGUGAAGUCAAGGUGUUAGAGAUAACCUGAAGUAUCAGCUCGCAGUGAGUGCAGGUAGUUGGUAGGUUUGUAAAUCUCUUUCAUCUAGUGGAUUAUUUGUUGUCAUCAAGGCAACCGUGGACGUUUCCCUUAUUGGGUUUUACCACGUUAAAAAUUCCUGUGUGUUAUUUACUUUCUACGUAUCGUUUGAUUUGUUUGAAUAUUCAAUUGUUAGAUUAGCACUAUUUGUAGUUUAUCAAUUGGAAAAAAAGUAGAAGAAUAUCUCCUAAACCAGUUAAGGAAACUCAAAUAAACUAACUGGUUGUAGUGUGCCAAGAAAGAAGGAAACACGAUUGAUAUAACAGUUGGCUUUGUGUUUAAAAAAAAUGGUUUUAAGCAGCAAUUGGACCGAACGGUACCAGAGACGUACGUACGUUAUAUUGACGUUCGUACGUCAAGCCCAAAAGAAAAAAACAUCUGCCUAGUCCAACGUACGAGCCCCCUAACUACGUUCGUACGUUCGAGGAAGGACCAAAAUUCUGCCUCCCUUAACGUACGAACGUCCUAAAGACGUACGUACUUCUCAUUUUUUUUUAUUUUUUAUUUUUUUAUAUUUUAUAUAUAUAAAACAAUUGAAAAACCAACCUUAAAACUAAACAACGACUAACACAAAUAUUGAGAGACAUCACAUGGAAACAUUUCUAAAUAUUGUAUGGAUUCCAAUUAUAGCACUAACACAAUUUGAACACGCCUCGAUCAUGAGAAUGCAAAAUUGAAGAACUAACACACACACCAUGCCACGGUACUCAACACAAUGAUGCAAAACCAAGAAACCACAGUCUAGGCCACAACACGAAAGGACCCUGAUACAACCAACAUGAAAUUUCCCCUUUUUUUUUUUUUUUUUUUAUUAUCCAUGUAAAACAAAUGCCAUUCUCGUGUGGGAGUAUAGAACACCUCCAUCUUUUACCAAAACACGAGGGUAGGGUGUAGCCUACAUCUUUUCGGCAAAAACACACUCAAAAAGUGCAAUACCAUGGUUACGUGCAACACAAGAACUAACAUCUCUUGAGUGCAUCCGUCAGAGCAUGAUCCUCACAACCCCAACGGGUUCCUAGCCAACUGAUAAUGCGCCCAAGACAUUCAAAUGGCUGGGGAUUUUGUGAGUCAUUGACCACUUACAAGAGGUGUAUAUAUAAAAGAAAAACGAUGAUCAUGAAGAGUAAUCAUGUAAGAGUAAGGAUAGACAGUUAUUCCAAACAUCCCAUGACAUGCAAAUGCACCAUGUAAGAACCUACCAAAGGCGUAGAGAGUGUGAUGAAGCCCUACAACAAUGCAUUACAUAGAGACCUAGUUAAAGGUGCCAAAUUAUAAAUAGCUGAAAAAUGGAAUCCACACAAUAAAGAGAAUAGUAUGUCCUCAAAACAACAGAAAUAGAAAAGAAUCAAAAGAAUGACCUAACCUAAACAUCCUAAACACAAACAGUUCCAAUUUCAGAGAGCACAUUAGAUAUAUAAAUGCGGAAGAGGCAUAGUGACAAUGAAACAGUUAUCAUGUGAACGACUACCAGUUAAUAGCAAGACAUGAUUUGAAUCAAAAACAUCACACUUAUCAUCCUCAAAAACAACUUUAAACUUAGCAUCACACAACUGACUAAUACUUAACAGAUUUGAUUUAAGACCUUUAACAAAAAGAAGCUCAUGACUAUUGAGCGAGCCCACCUCGGAAAAAUUACCUUUACCUUCAACUGGAAGCAUUUUACCAUUUCCAAAAGUAACCUUACCUCCAUAACCAAGAAUCAGAUUAUCAACGAGAGACUUAUCACCAGUCAUAUGACGCGAACAUCCGCUGUCAAGAUACCAUGAUGUUGUAGUUGGUUCAACCAAUCUAGCCAUGUGAGAAACCAUUUUCCUGGACGCAUCCAUACUCCUAUCCCAGAAAUGUGGUGGUGGAGUGGACAUAGAUGUUGCUUGAGAGUGAUUCCCAUACGGAGAGGUCCUAGGUAAGCCCCACGGUGCAUAGCCAUUCCACAUGUACGGGGCCUGCAUGGAAAGGGUGGAAGACUUGUUCCAAUAAGAAUUACCUGCAAAAGGAGAAUGGUGAACAUGAUAUAAAUUAUUCCAACAAAAAGCAGAAGUGUGACCCAUGCGAGCACAGGUUAGACAUUUAAAGCCUUUGUGUCUGAGAUUCCUUUUCGGAACAUGUUUUACCCGAUUAACCUUGGUUGGGGGAACCACACCAGACACCUGCAUAUGAACAGGGAGAGAAGAAGGGGAGACACCUGAUGGUCUGACAAAGGUAGUAUGUGAGGUACUAGCAGUAGAAAUAGGAACGGAGGAGUCAUAACCCAAACCUGAUUUGUCUGAAUGGGAUUUACCAAUUCCCAGCAAAGAGUUAAGACUAUCACUAGCUUUACCGAAACCAACCAAUUGUUUGUUGGCUGCAAACAACUCAGCUUUCACUUUCUCAUGUUCCAGUACAAGAGUGCGAUACCGUAUCUCCAGAUUAUUAUUCAGGUUUUCCAGAGAGGCAAUACGCGCUUGGAAGUCCUCCUUUUCUUUUUCAAAUUCCUCCUUCAACAUGUUGGAGUCACCUGCAAGAUUACAGAUAUCCUGCCCAAGACUGUCUACCAAAUCCUGCAAGACAGUGUUAGUUUUUUCAAGCAACUUUACUUGUUGCAUGGAAAACUUGUACAUAUCAACCAAUUCAUUAGUAGUAGCAUGAGCACCAGAGUCAGAAACAUUAAUUUCAUCAGUAGGGGAUACAAUACCUCCUGGAUGUUUAUCCAGGGAUGCACUGAAGACCACAUAGUUGGAGACAACAUUGGAGGGAUUGCCAUCCUCAUCUUCAUCUGAAUCAUCCCAUGUCACUGUGAGGUUCUGUAGUGCCCUGUAUUUUUAAUUUUUCUGCCAUGUGUUUUAUACGUGGUUGUUUGCAUUUUCAUGGUGUUUAUAUUUCAGAAAAAAAAAAACUGUAUAGCAAUGCAUAUUAGUUGGGUCAGAGUACUCUGAGGUAUGGUUUGAUUAGAUGGGUUAAUCUUUUUGGGUCGAGAUUAGGGUCCUAAUUACCCAGUGAAUUGAAGCCCAAUAGAGUUGUCUUAAUUAGUGUGCCCAUAGAUAUCCCAAGAGGUAAGUCGGUUAAAUAACCUGUUCAUUUUCAGUUCACACUCAUUCACUUUCGUUCCAUAUACACACAAAGAAGGCUAGGGAUUUUGGCAUAAAACAAGAAAAUAUUUUUGGAUUUCAAAGCUUGGAAAGUCUGAUCGAUCUUGAGUUCUAUAAUCACGUUGAGGCAAGUGACUUCUAAUUCCCUUUUCUUAACUCUUCGGCCAGAUUUAUAUUAGUUCUAAUCGAAUUCCUUUGGUUAAAUCUCUGUGCUCUUUUGGAUUUUGAUUUUAUUCGAUUUUGAUUGGGAUAUUGGGUGUUUAGAAUCAAAAUCCUGAAUGGUUUCAUUGCUGCCCUGAACCUAUGGUUUGAGAAGCAUCUUGUUUGUGUAUUUGUUUGAUUUACUUAUGAAUUUUAUAUCGAUUUGAACUAGAAUUCGAAAGUGGUUUGCUGUUACACCAAAUAUAUUAAAAAGUACAAUUCUUUGAUGAAUUAUCGAGUCGAAAUACUUUUUGGGUUGAGGAUGUGUUAGUGGGUUUUUAUGUUGACGAAAAAUGGAAAUUUUCAUUGAACACAACUAAAACUUUUAUUUCCUAUAACUUGGUUACGAACCGAUUCUUAAAUCAUAACUUUUAUUGGUAUUGAAAUGCUUAGAAGCGUAUUUGAAAAUUAAUUUUCUGAAGUCAGUUUUCUGUUAAUAAGUUCUUGUUUCGGUGAAACUAUCAAAUCCAGGAAUACCUUAUGACGACGAGCAGUUUAUGUACAGGUUGUUUAUAAUGUUAAAAUGCUUAAAUGAUGUGCUAAACUCUUAAGGAGGAUAUGAUUAAUAAUAAAUCAUUUUACAAUAUGUAAAGUAACUGUACUGAUCGUUGAUGGUAAUAUAUUGGAAAAUUUAGAUUUCUGACAUAUAGCUCAACGGAUCUGCUUUACAGCUUUUUGAUUAAUAAACGAUAACAUGUCAAUGUUAUAGAAAUAUAUAUAUUGUGUUGGCUUUUAUGGAACUGCGAUUAUAGAGCUAUGGUAUGGUCACUUAAACAGUUUUGUAUACGUUUAUGAGAUCGAGUUUUGCCAAUAUUACUGUAUACACUUGCACUUGGUGGCUUCGGCCGUGAGUUGGAUGUGAUCCGCACACACUUACACUUUGUGCCUUCGGGCGUAUGUUGGAUGUUGUCCACAUACACUUCAUACUCGUGCCUUCGGGCGUAUGUUGGAUGUCAUCUGCAUACAUUUGAUCCUGUGCCUUCGGGCGUAUGUUGGAUGUUAUCCGCAUAUAUUUUAUCUUGUGCCUUCGGGCGUAUGUUGGAUGCUAUCCGCAUAUAUUUUAUCUUGUGCCUUCGGGUGUGUGUUGGAUGUUAUCUACACACAUUUAUAGUAGUUGAUAAUUUUGCUCGUAAUUGCGAAGGUUGAAUUACUCUUUAAAUGAGGUUAUGAUAUAUGUUUUGUUACGUAAAUUUCCCCGUAUGUUUUUAAUAUCUAAUAUUUAUCGGUGUUGUGAGUUUAGUUUUAUUGAUGUAUCUCUAUCCUGGGUGGUAAGACGAGUGAAUUAGAUUUUACUUGCGAGCUGUGGCUCACCCUUGUUGUUUUCAUCCUUUUCAGGAGAUGGCUCUAUAGUAGCUUCGCGAGUGCCGUAGGUGGACUAGGCUUUCAAAAUUUCUUUUGACUUGUAAUUAGUUUAGUUGGUGUUAGUGUUUUGAGACCAGUUGGUGCCCUAUAUAUAGUUUUGAGAUAGUUAUAUUUACAGUUCUUAUAUUUUAUAUGGAACCCUUUUGUACAUCCAGCUGAUGUUUAAUAUAAUUAUACCAGGUUUUGGUUUUAUCCAGUUGAUCUUUCUAUUUAGAGUUUUGCAAUGGUAUUUACUGUUGUAGACAGGUUACUUGAACAAUUUGGUUGUUGGCUAGUUGGUCAAGUAGCUUGGGCGCUACAAUUCCUUAUAUUCCGGAGAGGCCGACUGGGAUAUACGGAGUUGGGGCGUUACAGAUAUGGUAUCAGAGCUGUAGGUUUACUGGUCCUAGAAAUCGUUUAAUGUUAGGGGUGACCAGAUAGAAAUGUGUGAGGACGAUUAGUUUUAUAUUUAUAUGUUAUGAUAUUUGUUUUGUGGUGUGAAAUGUGCAUAUUCUCACCUUUCUAUGCAGCUGUGUCUUAUUGCCUUCCUAUUUCAGUAUGUCUUCUUCAGAAAGAGCAGCUCGAACUCGUAAGACAAUCCGGGUAGCAGACAUUGCGGUUGAAAAUAAUGCGAAUCCAACAUCUGGAGCAGGUACUUCAGGGAAUACUGAUACUGAGCAAAUACCUGCAUGGGCUACAAAUCUUACAAGAAUGUUACAACAGACAAAUAGGAGACUUGAUGCGUUAGAGGCUGGUAGAGAUGUUCCUCAAGCACCACCAGUUAUUAACUUGGAUGCAGUCCCACCAGCUAAUCAUGUAGCACCUAAUGGCCAAGAAGUUCCAAUAGACUUUCAGGUAGCGCAAGAUAAUGAAGUUUGGAGAAGGAUGGUGGAAGGAUUUUUGAAAAUGAAACCUCCUAAAUUUAGUGGUUCGUUUGACAUUACCGUGGUCGAGGAUUGGAAAGAAGACAUUGAGAAUUUAUUUGAUGCUAUGGGUUAUACAGAGGUUCAGAAACAAAGGCUUGCAUCAUUGUGUUUGCUUGGAGAUGCUUCAAUUUGGUGGAAGUCAGUGACGAGAAUUGAAAAUCUGCAUAACAUUACUUGGGAGGAUUUUUGUCGACGCUUUGACUUGAGGUAUUUCCCUCAUGCUUUGAGAGCAGCUAAGGCAAGAGAGUUCAUCAAUUUGAAGCAAGGGUCGAUGACAGUGUUAGAGUAUGAGACUCGGUUUAUUAGACUCGCACGCUUUGCUACUCAUAUGAAUAUGGAUGAGUUCCAAAAGGCCAGGCAGUUUGAAGAAGGUUUGAAGGAUGGGCUACGAAGGUUGGUGAAAGGUCAUCAUUAUCCUACUGUUAGAGAAGCAUCAGAUCUUGCUACAUUAUUGGAACAAGAUUUUGCAGAACACAGUCGACCAAAUGAUCAUACCAGGUAUGGGAGUUCUAGUAAGGGUGAAAAAACGCAACCUCAUCACGAAGAUACACCUCAACCUCCAUACAAGAAGCAAAACACAGGUUCAUCAUCUUCAGAGACGAAAAAACCAUCAAAGUUUCAUGGGACUUGCCACACAUGUGGUAGAGUUGGACACAAGGCAAUUGAUUGUGUAGUUCCUGAACAUCGUUGGCUGAAGCAAGAUCAGGAAAAAUAUGAGACAAAACCAUUUGAACAGAUUCCAAAUGAUCACAAGUCGUCAGAAGAAAAAUCAGGAUAUCAAGGUUCAUGGAAGGGAUCAACUGAUCGUAAAAUAGAUAAGCG